CCUACGGGAGGCUGCAGUCGAGAAUCUUCGGCAAUGGGCGCAAGCCUGACCGAGCGACGCCGCGUGCGGGAUGAAGGCCUUCGGGUUGUAAACCGCUGUCGAGGGGAAUGAAGUGCGGGUGGGUUCUCCCAUCCGUUUGACAGAUCCCUGGAGGAAGCAUGGGCUAAGUUCGUGCCAGCAGCCGCGGUAAGACGAACCAUGCAAACGUUAUUCGGAUUCACUGGGCUUAAAGCGUGCGUAGGCGGUCUUGUUAGUCAGGUGUGAAAGCCCUCAGCCCAACUGAGGAAUUGCGCUUGAUACUGCAUGACUAGAGAAUGAUAGAGGUGGGUGGAACUGAUGGUGGAGCGGUGAAAUGCGUUGAUAUCAUCAGGAACACCAGUGGCGAAGGCGACCCACUGGGUCAUUUCUGACGCUGAGGUACGAAAGCUAGGGUAGCGAAC
rnacentral:rRNA from 1 species